rnacentral:rRNA from 1 species
UACAGAGGGUGCGAACGUUGCUCGGAAUUACUGGGCGUAAAGCGCGCGCAGGCGGAUCCUGCAAGUCCGGAGUGAAAUCUCACUGCUCAACGGUGAGGCUGCUUUGGAUACUGCGGAUCUGGAGACCGGUAGAGGCUGGUAGAAUUGCAGGUGUAGCGGUGGAAUGCGUAGAGAUCUGCAAGAAUACCCGUGGCGAAGGCGGCCAGCUGGGCCGGUUCUGACGCUGAGGCGCGAAAGCGUGGGGAGCAAACAGG